GUCUGGAGUGCGACUGUGCGACUGGGUUCUCUCCAGUAAUCCUGUCCAGAUUCUGCCUUAUCUACAUCUUGGAGACUUCCCUGCAGUUUGCUGGUUCAUGUGCCUUGCUUCAGGACUUCUAACCCUGCCGGUUCAGCAUCUGCAUUCCUGGACUAUUAUUUGCAGUUUGUUUCCAUUCCUGCCUGAUUACUCCGUUUUUGAUAACUGAGGUGAUCGGGGCUCAUCACUCUGCGAACUCGCCAAUAGUGCCAGUGGUGGCUGGGGUGACACUGCCGAAAUGCGUCGCCUGGGUGGGGAUGAUGGAGCAGCAGAUUCCGUGCCAAGACGCCGUGUCUUACUUGGCCUCCUGGAAUAUGUGACUACAGUGAAGUCUUACCUGCAAUCCCAGCCUCAUCCUGACUUGUCUGAGGCCUGUCUGGCCUGCUGGUCUGUGGGACUGUUGAAAAAGUGGACCAAACAUUAUUACCAUGCUUUGUGUAAAAAUAACCACUGCAAAGCCUUAGUGUACUGUAACCAUCUAUUAGGUAUUGGAUAAACAAUUAAUUUCUGAUUAA